rnacentral:rRNA from 1 species
ACUCCUACGGGAGGCAGCAGUAGGGAAUCUUCCACAAUGGGCGCAAGCCUGAUGGAGCAACACCGCGUGAGUGAAGAAGGGUUUCGGCUCGUAAAGCUCUGUUGUUAAAGAAGAACACGUAUGAGAGUAACUGUUCAUACGUUGACGGUAUUUAACCAGAAAGUCACGGCUAACUACGUGCCAGCAGCUGUGGUAAUACGUAGGUGGCAAGCGUUAUCCGGAUUUAUUGGGCGUAAAGAGAGUGCAGGCGGUUUUCUAAGUCUGAUGUGAAAGCCUUCGGCUUAACCGGAGAAGUGCAUCGGAAACUGGAUAACUUGAGUGCAGAAGAGGUAGUGGAACUCCAUGUGUAGCGGUGGAAUGCGUAGAUAUAUGGAAGAACACCAGUGGCGAAGGCGGCUACCUGGUCUGCAACUGACGCUGAGACUCGAAAGCAUGGGUAGCGAACAGGAUUAGAUACCCCUGGUAGGAUAGCG